rnacentral:rRNA from 1 species
UGGGGAAUCUUCCGCAAUGGGCGCAAGCCUGACGGAGCAAUGCCGCGUGAGUGAAGAAGGCCUUCGGGUUGUAAAACUCUGUCCUCAUCCAAGAGAAGGAAAGGUAGUAACUGACCUUUCCAGGACGGUAGAUGAGGAGGAAGCCCCGGCUAACUAUGUGCCAGCAGCCGCGGUAAAACAUAGGGGGCAAGCGUUGUCCGGAAUCACUGGGCGUAAAGGGCGCGCAGGCGGUCUGUUAAGUCAGAUGUGAAAGGUUAGGGCUCAACCCUGAACGUGCAUCUGAUACUGGCAGACUUGAGUGCAGGAGAGGAAAGUGGAAUUCCCAGUGUAGCGGUGAAAUGCGUAGAUAUUGGGAGGAACACCAGUAGCGAAGGCGGCUUUCUGGACUGCAACUGACACUGAGGCACGAAAGCGUGGGUAGCAAACAGG